CUGGCGUAUUAAGAAGUGUGUCAUCGGCCGGUGCUAAGAGACUAAGAGGCUAACAACCACUUUAUCUCCUGCCAGAAGAUUUUGGAAGCGGUGUGGGUUGCUGUGGACGCUCAAUUAGUAUGAGGUUUAGAAAGCUCUCAGAUUUCAUCAGAAAUAUCUUAACUUGAGUUCUAAAGAUGAACAACGGUCUUACGGGUUUGGAACAACAUGCAGUUAAACUGCCUGCUGUUCUUCAGAAAAAUCUCAGAAGGUUCAAAUGAACACUGAUGUUUCCGAAGGAAACACGAUGCAUUAAGAGCCAAGGGUGAAAACUUUUGAACAGAAUGAAGAAAAACAAAGGUCUUAUGGGUUUGAAAUUACAUGAAGGGUCAGAAAGCUCUCGGAUUUCAUCAAAAAUGUCUUAAUUUGUGUUCUGAAGAUGAACAAUGGGCUUGGAACGACAUGAGGGAUCUAGAUGCCAUCCUUUCAAUCGGACUGACCUCUGACCUCGGCUGAGAACUGGGCGGAAUGUCUGGUUAUGAAAAGCUGUAGUUGUUGGUCCAGGUCACAUUCUGAAACACUGAUGUCCCAGGAACGGAUACCUGCAGAUCCUCAGCACCUUUGGGAUUUAAAGUACAGACGCUUUGACUGGCACGUCCAAAAUUUUGCUGUCUGGCCAGUAACUGGCCUAACUUAAAUGCUGAGCUGAGGCGCUGAAAUGGAUCUGGCAGUUUUCACAUAAGCUGCAGAGCAAAUACCUCAGAAAUCCAGACGGCAGCUGCAGGACUUUGGAUAAAUAUCGCAGCAGCUCAGCGUUGGCCUCUCCGUCUGUCGGCGGUGCGGCAAUGGCGACACCCAC